rnacentral:rRNA from 1 species
GCUAAGCCAUAAACAUUGAUAGUAACCAUACACAACUAUCCGCCAGAGAAUUACAAGUGAAAACUUAAAACUCAAAGGACUUGGCGGUGUCCCACAUCGACCUAGAGGAGCCUGUCCUAUAAUCGAUACCCCUCGCUCCACCCAACCUCCACUAGCAUAUUCAGCCUGUAUACCGCCGUCGACAGUUUACCCCAUGAGGGUAAAACAGUAAACUAAAUAGUAAUAACACUAACACGUCAGGUCAAGGUGUAGCAAAUGUUGAGGAAGUGAUUGGCUACAUUUUCAAAAAUUUGAAAAAACGAAAUGCAACAUGAAAUCAUGCAAGAAGGUGAAUUUAGUAGUAAAAUAGAUAAGAGUGUCUAUUUAAACAUCGCUCUGGGACGCGC